rnacentral:rRNA from 1 species
GACGUAGGGCGCGAGCGUUGUCCGGAUUUAUUGGGCGUAAAGAGCUCGUAGGCGGCUUGUCGCGUCGUCCGUGAAAACCUGUGGCUCAACUGCAGGCUGGCGGUCGAUACGGGCAGGCUAGAGUUCGGUAGGGGAGACUGGAAUUCCUGGUGUAGCGGUGAAAUGCGCAGAUAUCAGGAGGAACACCGGUGGCGAAGGCGGCAUCCUGGACCAACACUGACGCUGAGGAGCGAAAGCCAGGGGAGCAAACGGG